GUGUCAGCGCUGGGGAGAAACCAAAAAUUUUUAUUGUAUUGAUUACUCUUAAUCCUUCGUUUUAUGACGUCACUCUUAAAUACCAACACCACCACAAGCUUCAAAAUUAACUCCUGAAAGGGUUUACUGUGCGAGAGAACUAACGUCUUAACUCUCCUCUUUCGAUCUCCAUUCUCACCGCCUCCACACUUUCUCACAUCGCCUUUCUUCAUCUACUUACUUCUAAAGCAUGGUAAAAACCAAGAAUAUGCGCCGACAGACUACGCCUGUACCGAUCCUGCUACCGACAGAGGAACCGAAUCUAUCAAUUCCGCCCACAUUUAAACCAAAUCCGCCCUCUUCAUACCGGCGCCGUUCGUUUAGGAUAAAAUAAAUUCGAAUUGAACCAUCCCCGUCUCCUACUUCUGAGUCUGGGGAACGUCCACUUGUGAGUCAGACCUCCCGCCUACGUCAUCGGGGAAAACGUUUGGCAAAGCCUGAUGAUGGACAGAGCUUACAUGGUGGACAUACCUCGGAUGCAGGCCAAAGAUCAGACCAUGGGCAAACCUCAGAAGGUGUUGCAGCCUCUGUUGACGGCCAUAGCUCAGAAGGUGUUGAAGCCUCUGUUGAUGGCUAUAGCUGAGACGAUGUUGCAGACUCUGUUGAUAGCCGUAGCUCAGACGAUGUUGCAGACUCCAUUGACGGCCAUAGCUUAGACGAUGUUGCAGACUCUGUUGACGGCCAUAGCUCAAGUCAGAGGAUGUUGCAGCGUCAGAUGAUGGGGCUACCAUUUCUAGUGCAUCUGUCUCUUCUUCCAAAGAUUCUUUAUCUACUCAGCAGUUCUUGCCAAGUUGACUUUUUGCAACAGACCGGUAUCCAACGGAAGGAAGAGUGAACUCAUACUCGAAACUACAAUAUCUAAUCGAUAUUUUAUUUAUUUUGGAUGGCACACCAGACAGACCAGAGCUACAUAUCCUGCUACGCUCUCGAUUGUAGUAGGAUAUGUUGCUUAGUUGCUACAAAGAAAAGCAACGUUUAAUUCACUUCUUUGAUUGUAUUUUCUUUUUCUUAACUUUAAUUAUCUCUUAGUUAGAUGUGUAUGUCCUAAAAUGACUAUGUAAUCUUUGUUGAUGAAGAAAAUCUUUACGGAUUCAACAA